rnacentral:tRNA from 1 species
GGGGCGGUAGCUCAGUCGGUUAGAGCCCCGGACUCAUAAUCCGGUCGUCGUGGGUUCGAGCCCCACCCGCCCCAC